CAGGACAAGUGACCCACCUUCCUCUGGCUGAGUUCCUUCUCGGCCAAAAGCAUCUCCUCUUAGAGAGGUGAUGGUGUCUGCAGAAGGGUGAAACCCUUCUCAGAGCUAUUUCAGCUACUCCAAGUCAAGCCUAGAAGUUUCAGGACAAGGAUUUGGUGGCAAGAUGCUGCUCUCCAGCAGCUUAAUGUACUUAGAAGACAGUUCCCACCCAGAAAACAUGCCCAGGAGCUCCAACACAUUUCUGCCAGGCCUUCAGAUGCUACUGGAAAAAAACCAGGCCAUGUCAUUUGCAGCAGCACCUUAAAAGCGGGGAGAAAAUAAUCAAAGGCAAGAGGUACAAAGCCAGAAGUGCAAUUUAUUGACAAAUUUCAGAAGUAAAAAGACUCAGCAUCUCUGCUCCUCAUGAACUGGAUGUCUGAGCUCUUUCAAAGCACCUUCACCCACCAGCUCAGAGCUGUGUCAUGCUUUAAUCUUCAGAAGUUGAAGUCUUGCUUCUCCACUGAGAAAUCAUACAGCCCAUCUUGGCCAGUCUGAGGCUCCAGGUCUGAGUUUUCCUGUGAGGAAAGUGAUAGGAAAUCAGUUAUAGGGUCUGCAUCUAAAUAAACCUAAGCUUUUUUUUUUUCUACAGCAACUUACUGCUUUAUUUUUGUUUUAAAGAUUCAGCUACUGUAAGAAGCUCUAACAGAGCCCUGGGAGACCAGACCCAAGUGCUCCUGUUCCUGACAGCACACUGAAGCUGCAGUGUCCCUGCAUCCCACACACAGAAGUAGCCAAGCCAGGCUGAGACACCAGAAGAGAAGAAAAAGAGUGGUUGCAGUGGCAGAACUCACUCUAAUUCAAAUGGAACAGCAACAUACCAGGACUGCUUAGGAGAGAUGUUCCUCCUGGCAUCCAGCCCCUCAGGAAGGUGCUGGUGUGUGGGAGAGCUUCCCUCACAGUCCCUCAAUAGGGACAUCCCACAGACCCUGCUCUGGGCAAAGGACUAAACCAGGCAUUUGCUCCCUGCUGCAAUUCCAUCCAGGCUGAGCCUCAGCUCCAAGAUCUGCUAGACAUUUAAGCCUCUUCCCUGAUGUUUUCCCAUCUGCAAGACUAAGGCUGGGACCAAGCAUGGCAUCUGUGACAGUCACUGGACUCCUGCAGCUCCUAGCUGGUGUCCCAGCCUCUUUUUCCACAGAUUCAUUACCACAAGGAGGGCCAAGUAAUCCAAAUGCAACCUGAGCACUGUUAUCAGCAGAGUAGGAGGCUUCCAUUCAUAGUGACAAGCCAGCUCAGCUCUGAAGGAGGAAACUUCUCCACAUUUGGUAUUCAUAUCAGCAACUGCAGUAACUCCAGCUGAUGCCAGUUUAAAUUCCAGCAGCAAGAUGCUAUCAAGGCACCCAUGUCUGCUGUGCAACUCACAACUUGGAGCUUUCACAGAUCUUUAGAAGCAGCUGAAAGAAGCUGCAAGGACUACUCCAGCCAUGUGGAGGUCUCCUCCAAAAGCCUAUUUCAGUAUCCUGUUCUUCAUUCCAGUGCAUAACAGCUUCAUAUUUUCAGCUGAGAAACAGCAAAGGGUCACAUACCUCACCAGAGAAGUAUUUCUCUAUGAUGUUCAGGGCAGCUCUGUAGACUAUGUUGUUCUCGUGGUUUUGCAAGUCUUCAAUUUUCUCCAGACCAUUGAGCUCCUCCAGCAGCAGACACAACUUCUCUGUCUCUCCCAGCUUCUCAGCUGCCUGUAACAUCAGGAAACCAAGCAGGAAAAUAGAACACUGCAUCAGUAACAGGUCUGAGAUGGUCUUUACUGUAAUUACAACCCUGAUCUACACGUCAAAAGGAUCAUAGUCUCUGAAUUUACAGUCCCUACCUGAUGCCAGGGAUGUGGCUGUGGUGCCUAUGGAACACCAGUCUCUGCUGGGACAACUGCAGUGGCUUGACUGCCAACCAAACCAGCUGGCAGGAGGUGAGGAGGGAACUUUAAUCUUGUCAAGCCCUUUGGACAACCCAAGAACAUCCAAGAACAAGCUAGACAACAUUGAAACCAUCUCUUACUCCAAAAAUCAACAGCCACUGUCCUAACCACACAAUGUGAGCACUUGGCUCACUCCUUGCUGCUCUUUUGGGGAAGGAAUUCAAGAGAUAAGAGGUCUUACCAGGAAGAGAUUUGAAAUGGUAUCCAGGAUGAUCAGGAUAGUUUUGCUGUCCUUGGCUGAGAGCAGGUUGAGCAGAGGUUUGAGGACCCCAGAACGGACAAGCUCCACCACCUGAUCCACUGUUCCUCCAGUCGUGAUGUUGGCCACUACCCACACACCCUCCUUCUGAGCCUUGAAGUCACCCUGGAAAAGCAGCACCGGGAAGGCAUUCCCAAGCUUUAUCAUCCCUCCAGGAUCGGUGUGAGGUGAGAAUAGUCCUUUCCCUUGUACUCAGCUUGGACUGAUCUCCCAUUUCCCAGCCCUUCAAGGACAGCCAGCAGAGCUGCCAAGAGCAGCUCCAGGACACGUUUCCAUGCAGGUGUACUGACAAGUCUGAAUGCCCAGGCUGUUCCAAGGAUCCCAACAGCUCUGUAACAGCCUGUUCAGGUGGCUCUUGGGGCAGAGACCCUCACGAGUGAGGCACCACAGACCACAGGAACCUCAGCAGAACUUCCCCAUCCCUUACCUUGUCGAGCAGCUCCACCAAGGGUGGCAGUAACCCACAGGUGAUGAGCUGUUGGAUCUGCUGGGAAGACCCCGCUGCAAUGUUACUGAGUGUCCACGCUGCUUCCUUCUGGAUCCCUGGCCUCGAGUGCCGCAGGAGACGGGGCAGGACAGCCAGGACACCGGCAUUGAUGGCUGCCUGGGUCUGCUGGUCCGUCCCUGUGACCACAUUCCCAACGGCAUGCAGAGCUGGAGUCUAGACAGGGAUUAAAGGAGAUGAGGAGAGGCCUUACCUCAAGGGAUACAUGUCAAAGUCCAGCAAGAUCCCUCACUAAGUGCUUGAUCCCUCAAACAAGGAGAGCAUUGUGGGUGAGAGCUGCUUAUUUACAGACCUGUCACCCUCCUGUUUGCUCUAAGCAGCUUUAGAGUCUCUAUCCAGCCUCCAGCCACAGCAAGCUGGAGCAGAGCAGUGGCCUGACACCCCUGCAGGCUGAGGGGACAGCAGACCACAGGUGCCACAGAAUAAGGAGAUGUGCCUUCCCUCCCCUCAGAUGUUUCUACAUUAAAGGGACCAGAGGAUGGAGAUUGCUGAUUGUUCCCUACCAUAACCAUCAAGUUCAUGCUGGCCAGGAGUUCCACCAGCCUGGGGAGAACCCCCGUGUCCACCACGAUUUGGAUGCGGUCAUUGGAGCUGUCGGUCAGAUGACAGACCAUCAUUCCCCCAUCACCCAAGUGAUUAAGAGCUGUUAAGGCAAGAAAAUGAAGGUUAUUUACUGGAGUUACAGGUGACACCAGAGCCAGCAAGGGAGGAAUCACAUCAUGAUUGAUAAGAACAUCUCUGUAGAGAGGACCAUCCCCUGUACAGCCUGGCUUUACCACUCCUGGGGUCAGGAGCACCAGCCAGCCCUGCACAGACCAGAGCUCAAACAGCUGGUUUCAGGCUGGUUUUUCAGCUUAAAGACAAACAUGUAAUCUCUCCUGGACCCUCAGGAGUCAUCCCUGCUGUCAGCUGGGUGAUGGUGACACCCUGUAAUCCUUCCUACAGCCACCGCAGUGGGGACAGUCCCACUCAGCACUGACCCUUAUAGAGCCAGGCUCUCCAUUCCUUGGCCUGCCCAAGCACUUGGCUCUUGAUUUCCUGCAGGAUCCAACGUGAUCCCUGGCACAGCACAGGCACAGCAAGGGGGGCAGCACCAGGAGCCACAGCAAACCCUUCAGCUGGGUUCAACCCCACAGGUCUGCGCUACAAGCACUGCCCAAGACUGUGACAGAGAGAAGCGUGGCACACAGGGCACACAACAGGCACCAGCUGAGGUUCCCCAGAGCAGUCUGGGUUACCAGGCUCCUUCCCUCUUUGCCAUCUCUCUAGAGAGCUCCUCAAACAGGAAUAAAUGCCUUUUGCCACCAGGACCCACCACAGCUCCAUGAGCCACCUCCCUCGUGGCCCAGGCAGCCAGGCACAUACCUGGUGGCCUGUGUGGCCAGCAGCUGCAUCUUGGGGUUGUUCUCAUUGAUGCCUUCCACGAUCUCCUCCAAGGACAGCUGAAUAAUCUGUGUCACAGGGAAUGAUUCACAGUCAGACGGGGAGCCGGGACUCCCUCUGGUUUAAUCUCUGCAGUCAAUCAGCUGUCUAGACCCGAGUCAGUCACCACUUCAUAUCUAAGCACUGUCUAUUCUUUAUGCAACACAGUUUCGAGAUGAGGCAGAGAAUCCACAAAAGCCUUCAAGGCAACUAAUGCUUAUAAUCAAGCACUGAAAGAGUCCCUGACACACCAUAAUGGGCCUUCGAGCUUAGUAAUUACCCCUCGCUGUGCAAGAAGCCAGACAGGAGCUGUGCCAGCUCCCAGGGAGCCAGAGCACCAGCCUGUUCUACCUGCCAUCAAGGGAGGCCAACAGGACAUCAUCUCCAUGAAAAAUAGCAAAAGCAGAGGCCAGGCAGUCUGAAACACUCCCCAGCACUGGGCAUGGCAAUCAGGAAUGGCACCAGAUACUCAACCCAGGUCAUGCAGGCUGGACUUAGUAGUGGUCUAAGUAGGGGAUGAUAACUACUGCACUGAUCCUGCCCAGGUGCAGAGGACCCAGCACUCACCUCAUGUGCCCUGUUUUGUCCUGGAGGGACAUUCUCAUCCUUCACAUGAAGGGACACAUUUCUGCGCUUCAGGAUCUGCUCAUCCUUCUUGGCCUUCCUCAGCUCAAUGCUCAUCUCCACCCUCUGCAUCCGCAGGGCCUGGAGGGGAGAGGGGCACCAUCCCAACAGUCUGCAUCACCCCAUUCCCCAGGGAGUUCAUCUUUGCAACCUUCUGCCCCACAUUUCCCAUGGGAGGAGUGCAGAGAGCCAGCAUCUCCUCACUGUGGCCUGGAGAGUGAUGUAGGAGAUGGGACAGAGUAAACCUCUCCCUCGGUGCCUCCCAAGGACAUGAACUGCUGGAUGAACUGACAACCAGUGGGGGUUUUUAAAACUAAAUUUGCUGAACUUGAAAGGCAAACCCUCAUCUCCUCUAUUGGCUUAAAGCAAGCUGACAGAUCCCAUGGUCUGACAUCCCAUACCAGCCCCCGCUCCACAGGGAUAACUGCUGCAGAGAGCUCAGCAGGCUGGGGCUGAGCCACCCCCUUCCCCAGCCCAGAGUCACUCACAUCCCCCCCGCCUGUGUCACCACGCUCCCUGCAGCCCAGCCAGCUCCACAUCACAUCUCAAAAGCCACCUGAGCAUCCCAGCUGGCAGAGCCAUCCCCCUGCUCCCCCUUUGCUACCCCAUACAGGUAGAUUUGAGGGCCAUGGGCCUUCACAAGAGUCUCCAUCUGUUGGAAAGGGGAACAGGCAAACCUCAGUGGGCUCUGCCAUGGCCCAAAGGUGCUGGCACAGGCAGGUGAGUACUCACAGCUGCAUCCUUGCCCUUGUUCUUGAACUUCCUCAUGCGCUGCUCCUGCUUCCCAACCUCCAUCCCAGCAGGGUUGAGAGAGGUGCCAGCUGAACGUCUUCACUUGCUCUUGGGCUUCAGGACAGAGCAGGGUGAGGUCACAACUGCCCAGCAGCAUCCACUGCCAUCCACAGAGGGGGCUGGGACCCCUCCACUCCCACCAGCAGCCUGUGCCACACAUUUCCAUGCCACACUCCCACCGAGGGAGAUGCUGCAGGUCCCCUGCCCCAAGCAGGGCUCAGUAGGAUCCUCACACACUGCAGCUGAGCCACUGAACUAAAUACAGGCACAAACUACCACUUAAUAUCAGGCUACAAAAAUUACAGCUGCUGCUGUAAUCCCAUGAGGAAGCCAGACACAGGCUUCCCAUGGUUACAGAAACACCACCUUCCUCUGGCUCUGAUCCUGGGCCUUUUAGUCUUACUUUGACACACAGCCCAAGCCUAGCAGGCCUCUUGCCUCCAGAAAGAUCAGCUCAAGGGCUGAUUUAAGGACACAGCCACAUCCAAGCUUCUCACCCCACCACACAGCCCAACCUGGCUUCCUACACCAGCACCUCAAAGUAAGGAAGAUCCAAAGUCACAUGCAGAGGCAUAAAGUGACCAAGUUCAACUGAAGAAGGAGUUCUCCUGGAAAUCCAGCAGCUAGUGCAGAUUACCAGGUUCACCCUCACUGCCUGCAGAAAAGAUGCCAGUCAGGAAAGGUGGCAUCGGUGUGUGGCAUCUCUGUGGCAGGGUGAGAGGAGGCAGGAACAUCCUCCCAGGAUCCACUAUGGGAUGCUGCACGGGCACAGCAGCUGGUUGGAGCAGC